UGGGAGAGAAAUUCCAAGUACAGUAACAUUUGACCUCAGGAUUUCUACUGAAAGGGGGACCAAAAUGAAUGAUAAGAGAUGAAGUUGAAGUCGACGUGUGAAAUUUAGUGUGAAGUAAAAAAUUCUUCCAUUUCCCAAAUUUUCAGGAAAGGGGUUCCUGAAUCCCAAGGGAGAUGGAACUGAGCCUUCUAUGGAGCCGGGAUGCCUGGAAUACCCUUGGGCACAGGGAAUUCCAAAGAGUUAUCCAGAUCGAGUCCUGCAGCCCAAGAACAGCAGUAGAGUCCAUGGGGAAGGUGAAGAGGGUCAGGUAACUGGAUGCUGAAAGCACCCAAGAGUCCGUAUUUUGUCUUGGAUACCUAGAGAUUUAGUCCACCUGACAGGUGGAGAUCGUCAGUCCGGGCUCCAGUAGGGAGCACCGGCUCCCACCACGGAACAGCAGUAAGUAAGUGGUCUCCACUGGGCAGGUCGUCAGAAAAGGCUGCUGGCGGCAACUGAACAGAGGUACGAGGUGGUGGGGAAGAAGAAUGUCCUGAAUGGUUAUCUCUGUGGGGGACUUUGGGUAGUGUGGCACGUCAGCCCAAUACAGGCUCAUUGGAGCUUUUUCACUUCCAAACCUGUGAAAAGAAUAUCUGUUUCCUCCAGCAGAAAAGUAUCAUCCACCUUCCUGGAAGAAUGAGGUGAAGUCACAGGCAGAGGAAAAAUAUAGACCUGGCCGCUGAAGGGGUCCUUGCUGGCCUGGCAGCUGUCCCUGCAGCCCCAUAUUGCAAGGGGGAAGCAGGGGCAAUGCAGUGAGGGGGUAGCUGGAAAAUUGGGGGCGAGGUGGUUGAAAAGAAGGCCUUACCCCACUUGUGGCACCACCCCAGAUCCUCACUGGGAAUAGCACUGCAAGGGGGACUGUGGCAAGGGAGGAGAGGGGAUUAUGGAAGGGCUCCUGGCUGGCCACGCCUUUCCUCUUUCUGUUUACCCUCCCCUCUUUACCUCACCUCUUUCAGUCUCCCUCUUUGUUCCAACCCAUUUCUUCCCUAUUUUCCCCGACCUCUUCCUCCAACACAUUUCACACACAAAUGGCUCCCGUCAUUCUCGGAGUGCUGUGCCCUGGCCCGGUGAGAAGGUCCGGCUUCCUCUCAAAUUUACCGACCUGCUGCCUGCCAUCCCAGGACAGGUUCCAGAGCCCCAGCCGAGAGCACCCUUGGUCAGGGAAGAAAAAGGCAGAGCAAGACCCCAUCCCUGACCAGUGAAGAAUUUGUGUGAUGGCUUCUGCAUCAAUGACCUGGCACCUGUCCCUGCUGCUCUAUAUUUCAGGGGGAAGCAGGGGCAGCAUGCUUCUGAACAUUCCUGGACUCCAGUCCCCACCCGGCUAGCCAGCUUGUCCAGCUUCUUCUGGAAUUUUCUUGCCAUCAGCCAUCCUAGGAUAUUCCCAACUCACUAUUCCCUUGCACCCCAACUGAGUCAAUCCCAAGCAGGUGGACAAAAUGGUAAGAGAAACCCUCUCUCCAGGAAAAGCUUCAUGUAAGAGGUAAGGACACAGGGGAGGGAAAGGAAGGAAGACAAACACUCUGGAGGGAAGGCUAGAGGGAGAGUUUAAUUUAAUAAUAUCCUGGUGAGAAGAAGGGCAACUGAAUAUGGGAGUUAUUUGACUUUCUUUUUGGAUCAACCUCCUGGUUAGGUCUUUUAAUGAAUUAUUCAUUGGAGAAAUGAGUUGAAGUUACAGGUGGUGCAGGAGAACAUCCCUGGCUCAUGAAGGAAUCCUGUGAUUGUUUCUGUAUCCCUGGCCUGGCUGCUGUCCCUGCAGCCCCAUUUUGCAGGGGGGAAGCAGGGACAGUUGGGUGAGUGGCGGGUUAGGAGGUAGUAAUUGAGGUGUUUAACCCAGUUAGCACUGCCACUAGGUGCCCCCUAGUUCUCAGUGAGAGCAACAAUGCAGGGGGCACAGAGGCAGUGGAGGGAGGAAAGGGAGGAGGGGAUUAAUGGGGGUCUUCUAUUUUGGCCUUUCCUUUCCUCUUUCUGUUCACCCCAGUUUCAUUGCCUCACCUCUCUAAGUCUUCCUCUGUUUUUAUGCAUCCCCUUCCUUCUCCCUCCCCAUCAACUCCCCAGCAGUCCUCUUAGUCAGACAGCACCCAGAUUCGAGGCCACGAGCCCCAGAAGGAGCCGUACGGUCCAGCCUGCAGACAGACAUCUCAGACGUGAUUGACUCAUUCCUUAGCACUACAGCUGUGAUCUCCCCGGGCCAGUGGAGGAUAUGGCAGGAGAAUCCCUGUUUGGAGGAAAAAAUUGGACGUAAGAGGAAGGAUUCGGGAAGAGGGAAGUCACAUGCUUCCAAAGGUGCCUGAGGAACUACCCUGAGGGGAAUCAGGAUGGACAGAGCAGGUCCCAGAGGAGGAAGAAGAUCUGAGGGGAAAUCCAGGAGACCCAGGGACACCAAGACAUUUGCCUCAUAAAAGAAAAAAAUAAGUAUCUCCAAUCGUUUCUGGUGUGAGAGGAAAUUCUGAUAGCGUUUACCCCAAAUGAACCUUGUUCCUAGCCAUUAGCAUGUUUUACCUCCAGUAUCUUUCUCUCAAACGUACCAAUAAGACAUCGGAGAAAUAAAUGAGUGCACAUUUUCCUCAUACAGUAUUUGCCCAAUCCGUUUUCAGAGGAAAA